CCAUCCUCGAGAUGUCCCAGUAUCUUAAGUGCUUGGCCUAGGGCUGUUUAUGUUUCAUAUCAGUUAAUCUCUUUAUUGAGCCAACCACUUUGGAGAGGAAUUUAAAUCACACCUAAGACUUUAAAAAACUGCUAUAGAAACAUCACCUAUUAAACUGUUAUAAUGAUCUCAUGAAAAGUGAACAGCAAUUUUUAGUUGGUAACAAACUCAGAAUUUCCAUGUGACCACAUGAGAGUUCUCUGCAAAUGACAGACUGAGGCUCAAAGACUAAUUCAGAAUUUGAUAAGAAAAACAUAUAGGUGUAACGUGAAGUGAUUAAAUCUAUGUUGUAGCAACGGGGCUUGGCCUCCCCAGCCUGCCCCUUGGUGGGCGAAGCCAGGACAUUCACGCCCACCCUGCCGGAAGCAGAGGGGCAGGACAGGAAGAAUAAAAGGCAGGCCCUGCAGCUCAGUUGGGCUGGAGUUGCUGGAGGAGACAGAUGACUCCUGCUGAAGACUGAACCCAAUGGAGACCUCUACAGCAACGAGGACCCAGAAGAGCUGCCAGAGCUGCAAUUAGCAGUGUACCUCGGGGAUUGGAGGAGAACCCCAAACAACAGAACUUACCAGAUUGUCCGCAAUCCCAUGGCUCAAAGCAACAUACCUGUGUGGGGGAAGAGAUUGAGUAGCUUUCACAUUUCAAUCUGACUCUCUCCGCCACCCCUUCCCCACGUCUCUGUGUCAUGGAGCCAGCUGCUCCGAGAAUAGUUCAGGACUGAAAUGUCACAGUUUGAAACUGGAUCCUUAAGAUGUUUAUCUUCUACCACAGGAUGCCAAUUUGGACCAAUAGCAGCGAUGGAUUUUGUGGUGUGAAUAAUUGUCCCUCAGGAUCCCCUCCUGGCAACUCAUCUCAUGUGAGAACAACCAAACUGUUGUCACGUGGUGCUCACUUUCAGUCACAAUCAAUGGCAAGCCAAAUCUCCCAGCUACUUCCAGGGGUGUUUUGCAUGUAUAAGGGCUGUGGGAUUUAGUGCAGUAUCUAGCUAUCUGCUCUGGAAUAGUAGGCUAGUACUAGAUAGUUGAGUGAGUAAGAUGUUGUUUUUUUAAAAGCGUACAUUAAAGUUCAGAUUCUAUACAGCAUCAUAACCACGGCUCCUCAUGUUUCACAGCCAGUGAUUGUGCCAUGCAAUUCAUCCUUUACUGUAGAAUUUUGCUCCAGAAUCUUUUUUUUUUUUUUUAAUCUAGCCCUCAUGGUUGGGAAGACAACCUUGAAAUGUGAACGGACUUGAACCAGUGCAGUAUCACAUGCCUGAUUCUGCAGACAGCCUGAAAUAAUAUCUGGCCAGGUACUAUUCAAUAUUUUCAUUCAUGACUUGGAUCAUGUAGCAGAGAGUAUUCUUAUUAAAUUUGUGGAUGACAGCAAGCUAGGAGAUUUGCGAGCACAAUGGGGGACAGGAUUAGAAUUCAAAAUGACCUUGAAAAAUUGGAGAAUUGGUCUGAAUUUAACAAGGUGGAAUUCGAUAAAGGUAAGUGCAAAGUACUUCACUUAGGAAGGAAAAUUCAAAUGCACAACUACAAAAUGGGGAAUAACUUGCUAGGUGCUAGUACUGCUGAAAAAGAUCUGGGGUUAUAGUGGAUCACGAAUUGAAUAUGAAUCAAAAAUCUGAUGUAGUUGCGAAAAUGGCUACUAUCAUUCUGGGGUGUACUACAUGGGUGGUAAUUGUCCCUCUCUCCCUGGCGCUGAUGAGGCCUCAGCUGAGGUACUGUGUCCAAUUCUGGGUGCCAGGCUUUAGGAAAGAUGUGGAGAGAGCCCAGAGGAGAGCAACAAAAAUGAUAAUUAUGUUCUUCUGAUAAAAAGUUUAGAAACCUUGACAUUGAGAAAAGGGAGGGAGGACUGAGGGAAGACCUGACAACAAUAUGUUAAGGGCUGUUGUAAAUAGGGCUGUGGUCAAUUGUUCUCCAUGUCCACUGAAGAUAGGACAAGA